rnacentral:rRNA from 1 species
AUUGAACGCUGGCGGCAUGCCUUACACAUGCAAGUCGAACGGCAGCACGGGAGCAAUCCUGGUGGCGAGUGGCGAACGGGUGAGUAAAGCAUCGGAACGUGCCCUGGAAUGGGGGAUAACGUAGCGAAAGUUACGCUAAUACCGCAUAUUCUGUGAGCAGGAAAGCAGGGGAUCUUCGGACCUUGCGUUUCAGGAGCGGCCGAUGUCGGAUUAGCUAGUUGGUGGGGUAAAGGCCUACCAAGGCGACGAUCCGUAGCGGGUCUGAGAGGAUGAUCCGCCACACUGGAACUGAGACACGGUCCAGACUCCUACGGGAGGCAGCAGUGGGGAAUAUUGGGCAAUGGGCGCAAGCCUGACCCAGCAACGCCGCGUGAGGGAAGAAGGCUUUCGGGUUGUAAACCUCUGUCCUUGGUGACGAAAAAAUGACGGUAGCCAAGGAGGAAGCCCCGGCUAACUACGUGCCAGCAGCCGCGGUAAAAUAGCGUAACU